AGAAAAAAAACCACCCACCCCAUCGUCCUCCCACAUCCCCGCCUUCUUCCCCGGUGCCCGCGCGCCAUGCCCGAUCCAGCCGGCCUCCCCCGCCUCCCCUAGCUUCUUCCCCGAUGCCGUCCCGAACACCGGCCGAACCAGCCGAAGCAGCCGUCGCCGCUCUCCCCAAAUCGGGACGCCACCACCGUCACCGGGUCACGCCGCCACCACCGCCCUCCCCAGAUCGCCCCACAACCACCGCCGCACUCCACGGUCACACCGCCACCGCCGCUCACUCCCCAAAUUGCGCUGCCACUGCCACCUCGUGCUUCAUCCUUUCUAUUACACCCCUGCUCCUCGACCACCGACGGCGACGCGCAUCCAUCCUCCUCUGCCCCCCACGACCUUCCUUCUCUGCUGCCAUGGCCUUCCUCCUCUCCCACCGCCGGCGUGAGAGCUACGCACGCCACCGCGCACUACCACCUUCCUCCUCCCGGCCGGCCUCCUGGCCCGGGCACCACUGUGCGGAGCAGUGCCACCACGCACAACCUAGUCAUCACUGUCGCCCCUCUUCCUCCAUGAUGUUGUUGCCCUCUUCCUCCAUGCUACUGCCACCUUCGAUCCAGUCCCCUGCGCCUGGCAGUCUCCGCAUUGAGCUACCCCGUGCACAUAAACUGUUUGUGUAUAUACCCCAAACAAAAAGAAGUUCAAAGUUUGAAUCAAAAGGGGGGAAAGAGCUCCAUUUUAUGAAGAAAACUGAAAAGCCAUUGUCACAGGGACAAUCAUGAAGGUCAGAUGUUGAAAAAGUCAGGUGCAUGAUGCAUGUCUGUCCAUCCCCUUACCACCUUCACCUUAGACCAAGAGAUGACCUUCUUAGCUGAUGAUGUUGACCUUCAUCAUAAUUUUUUCUGCCCUAUCAUGCGGCUGAAAAUUUGACUAUGUUGUUCCGUGAACAAAAACUGAAGAGUUCCAAGCUCUCUGGAUGUCUCUUGGAUGCAGCGUUCUUCUGUGUGCAGUUGAUGGAAACACUCUGCUGCUGGAAUAAUGAAAUUAACCCCCAACUAGAUCCCAACCUUUUGCUCAUCCCCGACGCGUGACUACAUCUAAUCGAAGUUCACCUUGUUUAUCUUGAGACGUCCAAGUAUAAUUGUUUAAAACGGUUCAGUUAUGACCGCAACCGUGGGUUCAGAUAAACUCAACGACUAGGAUACUGCUACCUAUAGCUGAACCUCGACUUGCUGCAGAUGGGCUAGCUGCACUUCAUGUUUACUUCAAAAGAAAGGAUACAUAUGUGCAGUGCCUCCUGUGUGUAUCAGCUAACUAAUAUUUCUGCAAAAAAUAGUGUUUGUCUACAGCUUGUACGUACAAACACAUAUUUCGCCCAUUUUGAUACUACAAAUGAAUAGUUUUGUUAGUUCUACUUGUACAUAUUUCAUACAAUUUGUUUCUUUGUCUACUGGUAGCCAUGCCAGAUACGAUGCUACCUGGGAAAUUGUGAUGCACCUUCGCUUGGUGCCGCCACAGGACCCAGUGCGCCUCCUGUCCUCUGCUUUUCUCUAUGCGCAGCAAUGUGUCUCACCCCGCCGAUUGCCCCUGCUGCUGCUGGGAACAGAGAUGUUCCAUGAAAUCCCACUACAUCUAUACGUCAUCUUCCGAGAUGUUCCGUGAAGUUCUACUGCGGCUGUCCGUCACUAUGGUCGUGUGCCAGUAUGGUGUGCUUGGUUCAUGUGUGCCUUGAAAAGAUCAUGUUUACCUUGCUGGAUGUUGGCCAGCUCGCUCUUUGUGUGUGUUGCUGCUGCUCUAACCGCACAUGUAAGCGGCAGCUGCUUCACUCUCCGUGUAUUGAUUUCUCUUGCGCGCCAACGUUGCCGUCUCUCUAAUUGGUUCACAUUUGAUGCGGCGGUAAAGGGAGAUAUUUUGGAUUCCAGCUUUUCCUUGUACGUUCAAGUCAGAAGUGAAAAGUAAUUGUAGCAAACUGAAAAAGAAAUGUAUUGUAUGCAUCCCCCACAUGUUUGUAAUAAACUAAAAAACAGAGUAGUUCAAAAAGUUUAAUAAAAAAGGUUUUCCCUGUUUCUAAAAAAA